rnacentral:rRNA from 1 species
GACAGAGGGGGGCAAGCGUUGCUCGGAAUCAUUGGGCGUAAAGGGCGUGUAGGCGGUUUGUUAAGUCAUGUGUGAAAUCCCUCGGCUCAACCGGGGAACGACGCAUGAAACUGGCAGCUAGAGUACCAAAGAGGGGGUGGAAUUCCCGGUGUAGCGGUGAAAUGCGGUAGAAUAUCGGGAGGAACACCUGGUGGCGAAAGGCGGCCCCCUGGUUGGAUACUGGACGCUGAUACGCGAAAGCGUGGGGAGCAAACAGGG